rnacentral:rRNA from 1 species
UGGGGAAUAUUGCACAAUGGGCGCAAGCCUGAUGCAGCCAUGCCGCGCGUAUGAAGAAGGCCUUCGGGUUGUAAAGUACUUUCAGUCGGGAGGAAGGUGGUAAGGUUAAUAACCUUAUCAUUUGACGUUACCGCCAGAAGAAGCACCGGCUAACUCCGUGCCAGCAGCCGCGGUAAUACGGAGGGUGCAAGCGUUAAUCGGAAUUACUGGGCGUAAAGCGCACGCAGGCGGUUGAUUGAGUCAGAUGUGAAAUCCCCGGGCUUAACCCGGGAAUUGCAUCUGAGACUGGUCAGCGAGAGUCUUGUAGAGGGGGGUAGAAUUCCAUGUGUAGCGGUGAAAUGCGUAGAGAUGUGGAGGAAUACCGGUGGCGAAGGCGGGCCCCUGGACAAAGACUGACGCUCAGGUGCGAAAGCGUGGGGAGCAAACAGG